rnacentral:rRNA from 1 species
UACGUAGGGUGCAAGCGUUGUUCGGAAUUAUUGGGCGUAAAGGGCGCGUAGGCGGCUUGUUAAGUCGGCUGUGAAAGCCCGGGGCUCAACCCCGGAGGGUCAGCCGAUACUGGCAGGCUAGAGUACGGAAGAGGUAGCUGGAAUUCCCGGUGUAGCGGUGAAAUGCGUAGAUAUUCGGAAGAACACCAGUGGCGAAGGCGGCUCACUGGCCCGGUACUGACGCUGAGGUGCGAAAGCGUGGGGAGCAAACAGG